GAUGAACGCUAGCGGCAGGCUUAACACAUGCAAGUCGAGGGGUAUAGUUCUUCGGAACUAGAGACCGGCGCACGGGUGCGUAACGCGUAUGCAAUCUACCUUUUGCAGGGGGAUAGCCCAGAGAAAUUUGGAUUAAUACCUCAUAGUAUGUGAGAAUGGCAUCAUUUUCACAUUAAAGUCACAACGGCAAAAGAUGAGCAUGCGUCCCAUUAGCUUGUUGGUAAGGUAACGGCUUACCAAGGCAACGAUGGGUAGGGGUCCUGAGAGGGAGAUCCCCCACACUGGUACUGAGACACGGACCAGACUCCUACGGGAGGCAGCAGUGAGGAAUAUUGGACAAUGGGCGCAAGCCUGAUCCAGCCAUGCCGCGUGCAGGAUGACGGUCCUAUGGAUUGUAAACUGCUUUUGUACAGGAAGAAACACUGGUUCGUGAACCAGCUUGACGGUACUGUAAGAAUAAGGAUCGGCUAACUCCGUGCCAGCCGCCGCCGUAAUAC
rnacentral:rRNA from 1 species